CCUGGUGUAGCUCAGCAGGUUGGAGCGCCCCGCUGAUAACGGGAAGGACGGCGGUUCGAGCCCGCCCGCCAGGAC
rnacentral:tRNA from 1 species